GUGCCAGCAGCCGCGGUAAUACGAAGGGACCUAGCGUAGUUCGGAAUUACUGGGCUUAAAGAGUUCGUAGGUGGUUAAAAAAAGUUGGUGGUGAAAUCCCAGAGCUUAACUCUGGAACUGCCAUCAAAACUUUUUAGCUAGAGUAUGAUAGAGGAAAGUAGAAUUUCUAGUGUAGAGGUGAAAUUCGUAGAUAUUAGAAAGAAUACCGAUUGCGAAGGCAACUUUCUGGAUCAUUACUGACACUGAGGAACGAAAGCAUGGCUAGCGAAGAGGGUUAGAUACCCUCGUAGUCCAUGCCGUAAACGAUGUGUGCUAGACGUUGGAAAUUUAUUUUCAGUGUCGCAGCAAAAGCAUUAAGCACACCGCCUGGGGAGUACGACCGCAAGGUUAAAACUCAAGGGAAUUGACGG
rnacentral:rRNA from 1 species